rnacentral:lncRNA from 1 species
GAGCGGGGCGGGGCCCGGGGGCAAGAUGGCGGCCUCGCGGCGAGGCCAAGUUUUCACCUAUCCUCACGGCUUCCUGGUCCUUGACCUGACUCUGCUCUUCCUGAUGGGGAUUCUGGAAGCAACGCGGCUGUACCUCGGCACCAAGGGCAACCUGACGGAGGCCGAGGUGCCGCUGGCCGCCAGCCUGGUCCUGACUGUGGGCGGCACCCUGCUGGCCAUCUACUUCCUGCUCUGGCAGACCCUGGUGCUGCGGGCAGACUGGGUCCUUGGCGCCACGCUCCUGGUGCUCCAUGGCCUGGAGGCCGUCCUGCAGGUGGUGGCCAUCGCCGGCUUUGUCAGCUAGGCCCCUGCGGCAGCCCCGGCCAGGAGCCCUUCCUGAGGGUGAGACGGCCUGCCAGCCGUUGCCCAGGGGGAGGGCGUCCUUCUGCUGAUGCGCCAUGACCUUGGAGGGCCUGGCGGCUUGGGUGAUCUCUGAGUCCUUGAGGCGGAGAUGGGCUCAGGAGCCAGGGCAGAGCAAAAUGCUGGGGCAGGCGGGGGCCCAGCGGAAGCCGGGACUGCCCGGGCGUCCUCCUCAGGAAGCGCAGGCCCCGCUUGGCUGGCAGGACCUCCAUUCAGCAACCGCCCUGCCCCCUGGGCCGGAAGGCAGCGAGGGGCCGGGGACGAGCCCCGGGCAGACGCUGCUCUGCCUCUUCCACGAGAGAGUAAUGCCAGAGAGCCAGGGCUUCUUCCCCCCGGGGACACAGGAAAGGCGAGCUUGAAGCGCCAGUGCCCAGGGGACAGAGCGCCUCCCUCAGCAGGACGUUGGCCCUGGGCACCGGGGACUUCGCCAGGGGGACCUUUGCCCACUCACAGACCCACUCCAGUGCCUCUGGAAGAAACCUGAGCUGAUGUUUUCUGGCAACUUUCAUUUGUUUCAGUUGUACAUUUUCUGUGUUUGGAAUAAUACCGUGUUUGAAUAUCUAGACAUUUUUCUCUUCACUGUAGUUUUUAAAUAAAGCGUUUAUCCUUCCCU